UAUUUAAUUGUUUUUUGAAUUCAUAAUACAUCAUUGAAAAUCCUAAUCUUGCAUUCUAUAUGUAUGUUAUGUUCACAAUGUGCAUUUAAUUGUAAUAGCUAACAUUUUUUUCUACUUGUCUAAAAGUAUCGUAAUGUAGUUUAUUCAGUUGCUGUUAAGGUGGCUCUUGAUAUUGCUCGUAAUAAUUUUGUCCUUUGUUGUUGAUGGCACUGUAUAUAUUAUAAUACUUUUCUAUUUCAGAUGUUACUUUUGGUUUUGUCUUGAGAAAGUUCAGGCAUGUUUAGAACAUUGAAGAGUGAUUACUUUUUGAUUUCAUUUGAGAAUAUUCUGAUAUAUUUUGUAUAUUGAGGAGUGAACUGUCAAUUAUAUGACUGAAAUUUCCUUGAGGUGUGUGAUCUUUCAUCUCUUGAAGAGUGCUUAUGUUUUUAGUACUGAGACCAACCACUGUAAAAGAUCUUCUUUUAGUUCAGAGAACUACUGGUAGUGUGAGGAAGAUAAUCUUUUCAUUGACUCGACUCUUCUUAUUUCACCUUUUACUUAUCAAGGCAAGAAAAAGUUUUUAAAAAUCGUCUCUUCAAAGAUAAAUUUGUAUUUCCAGGAAUGGCAUAAAUUUGUCUUCAAAUGGUUUCAGCUUAUUGUUCUUUUUUUACUUGUGGUUACUUUUUUAUAGAGAAUUUAUUUAUUGUAUUUGAACAUUAUUAGUAGUAAAUUAUUUUGGUAUUUUUAAUGCAAAUUUUUAUAUAAAUGUUUUAAAACUUUUUUUACAGUAUGCCAGGGAAAAUAUGAAUUUAGUAUUGUGGACUACAAAAGUGAAUAUUCUUACAAUAGUUAAGGAAUUCAAAAAAUAAAGUAAUGCAAUAAAGAUUACUACAAAAUAUCAUCAAAAUUUCACCAAUCAAAAUAUUGGGGGUUUUUUUUUGGAGGAAGAGAGGACUAAAUAAAUUACUGCCAGUAACAUAAAGCAAAGAAAAUUAGAAUCUGGUUUCUUGGUGUCUUUACAUAAAAAGGAAAUUUUUUUAGAAAAGGAAAUAUUUGAACCCGAAUGUAGAACUAAUCCUUUCUGUCAGCAAAGUGAGUGAGCCAAAUAUUUUACUUUACUAUCAAAAUUUAAUGUGUUCUGGAGUGUUACUGGUGAAAAAACUAAACAGUUGUAAGAAUUUAAUAUUAAAUGAAACGGCAAUCUUUGUUAGUAUUAUUAAUAAAACAUGCAGGUUUUUGUGUUUCAGAUUUAUUAACUUAGAUCCUUAACUUUCUUUUAAGGAAUUGAUAUGUUAGUGAAAUGGUAGUAUAAUAUUGUUUCUUUUCUUAGUACAUAUAAGUGUAAGAACGCUGGUAUAACAAAAUAUUUUUAGGGAUGUGUUGAAAGUGCUUUAAAAACAUAUGUUUCAAUGUCUGUGAAAAAUAUUUCAUCAAUUGUUCGUAAUAUACUAUAUAUAUAUAUAUAUAUAUAUAUAUUGUAUAAAUCUUGCUCAACUUAAUAAAUUUCAUUGUAACAUUUAAUUCUAUAAUCACAACUAUUAUAUGAAUGUUUCUUAUAUCUUCUCAGAAGUAGCUUCUUAAAAAUUUGAUUAUUCACCCUCAAAGUAAUAAUCUUCCUUAAUUGUAGGAAUACUAAAAUCAUGAUUUAAACAAAUUAUUUAAUCUAUAAUCUAUAUCGUCAACACUACGAUUGGUUCUAUGCUAGGGCAAAAUACUCUCGUAAUAUUGUUUUUUAUAGUCUGUUUUUAAGUAUUGUGUCAUAAUUACAUCCGUUAUUUCUUAAUUUAUAGACUAAUAUGUGAUCUUCCUAAGAUUUAUUUCAUAUAACUUGUAAACAAGGCAUUAAUAUAUAGCAAAUCUGUUAAUGUUUCUUUAUAUUUUUAGUUUUGUCAUUAAAUAUUUUGUCCAUUUUUAAGUGCUUUGCAAAUUUUACUUGACAUGUUUCUAUAUAUGAUAGGGUUUGAGUUUUUGCUGUGGAACUGCCUUUCAUAACAGUUUCUGAUUUAAGAUUAUUCUUCUCGUCUCCUUUUCCUGAAUUUAUGUUUGUCAUUUGCAUCUUAUAUAUUUGAUGCAGAAAACGUCUCUCAACUCAGCUUUUCUCCUAAUGGAUACUGAAUUUGAAGAAUAAAUAUUUUUAGAACCCAAUGAAUUCCUGCUUAAAUUCUAUUAGCAAGAUGAUCCACUCAUUUGUGGAGACAAUUAUUUAUUUGCUCCACAUUUGUAGUAGGUUUUCUUG